ensembl:misc_RNA 7SK 7SK RNA
GGAUGUGAGGGUGAUCUGUCUGCAACAUCUGUCACCCUAUUGAUCACCAGGGUUGAUUCAGCUGAUCUGGCUGGCUAGGUGGGUGUCCCCUUCCUGCCUCACUGCUCCAUGUAUGUCCCUCCCGAAGAGAAGAUGGCCACCCCAAUGGAGGAGGACCAAGUCCUCGGUCAAGGGUAUAUGAGUAGUUGUGCUCCCCUGCUAGAACCAACAAGCUCUCAAGGAAGAGACCUAUUACAGAUUACAUUUGUACUUCCCUCUCCUGGAUGGUCUUC